UUCACGCCUAUCAGAUAUGAUAAACAAAACAGUCGAAAAGGCGCUUUAUCAAAUACAAGGAUCAAAUGAAGACAAUAAAGACAAUAAACACUUUAUAGGAAUUGAUCAUUACACAACCGCCGUGGAUGAAGCUUUUAUACAGCAAAAGAUGG